GGUUAAGCGACUAAGCGUACACGGUGGAUGCCCUGGCAGUCAGAGGCGAUGAAGGACGUGCUAAUCUGCGAUAAGCGUCGGUAAGGUGAUAUGAACCGUUAUAACCGGCGAUUUCCGAAUGGGGAAACCCAGUGUGAUCCGUCACACUAUCAUUACGUGAAUACAUAGCGUAAUGAAGCGAACCGGGGGAACUGAAACAUCUAAGUACCCCGAGGAAAAGAAAUCAACCGAGAUUCCCCCAGUAGCGGCGAGCGAACGGGGAGCAGCCCAGAGUCUGAAUCAGCUUGUGUGUUAGUGGAACGGUCUGGAAAGUCCGACGGUACAGGGUGAUAGUCCCGUACACCAAAAUGCACAGGUUGUGAACUCGAAGAGUAGGGCGGGACACGUGGUAUCCUGUCUGAAUAUGGGGGGACCAUCCUCCAAGGCUAAAUACUCCUGACUGACCGAUAGUGAACCAGUACCGUGAGGGAAAGGCGAAAAGAACCCCGGCGAGGGGAGUGAAAAAGAACCUGAAACCGUGUACGUACAAGCAGUGGGAGCCUCUUUAUGGGGUGACUGCGUACCUUUUGUAUAAUGGGUCAGCGACUUAUAUUCUGUAGCAAGGUUAACCGUAUAGGGGAGCCGAAGGGAAACCGAGUCUUAACUGGGCGUUAAGUUGCAGGGUAUAGACCCGAAACCCGGUGAUCUAGCCAUGGGCAGGUUGAAGGUUGGGUAACACUAACUGGAGGACCGAACCGACUAAUGUUGAAAAAUUAGCGGAUGACUUGUGGCUGGGGGUGAAAGGCCAAUCAAACCGGGAGAUAGCUGGUUCUCCCCGAAAGCU
rnacentral:rRNA from 1 species